CUCUGUCCCAUGUCUGCAAUAGCUGCAAUGCCUAAGGGCCAGCUACUGAGGCUGGUGUGAGUGGGCAGUGUCAUCUGCUGGAGUUACACCACAGUGUGGGCACUCAUGGCCUGUGGUGCCAGCUUCUGGAGCCUGUGGGGUCUGAAGUCAGGUGUAUUGGAGUCCAGCCAAAGCUGUUAGGUGGGCAUAAGGGCUGUGCUGGUGCUUGGGGCACUCAUGAAUGUGUGUGCCAGUGACCCUGGAGAUGUCGUGUGCACCUGCGCCAGGAGCCUGCUGUCUCUGCCAGCCAAAGAGGAGGAGAGGAUGAUUGCUGUUGCUUGCUUUGUGCGAGUCCUGUGCAGAAGGCAGCACCUUGCCUGUGACAGUCCUUGCAGGAGCAGUCCUGAGCCUGAGUCCUGAAGGCAAGCCUGGCUUUUAACAUCCCUUAACAUAAAGUAUUAGAGCUAAUAUAAAUUGAUCUUAUAAUAUUCUUUUCUGUUUUUUUUUUUUUUAAGAACUCCUUCAUCUGAAUAGGAAAAAAUACCUCAGACAUUUCCUAGCAAACUCUUUCAUCCUGUCUCCUGUUGCUUCUACAGGGAUUUAAGCCACUAUAGUGCUUUGAUAAUCUGUAUGAGACCUGCAUAUAUCACUUACUUCACCAGUUUAUUUGCAUGGAUUUUUCAAUGACCAUAAACUUCAAAAGACAUUUAGGAAAAGAUAAAACAGUCCUAGUUCUACCAGACAUACAUAAAGUGACACAAUGAAUCAAGAUUAGCUGGAGGACUCUUUUCAGGAAUGCUAUUAUUUUGCCUUAACAUUUUGUAUGGGAGAAAAGGAAAUUACUAGCAAAAUCAUCAUGCUUGGAGAAAUGAAAAGUGUAAUUUCCUAGAGAAGAAAGGUUCUGUUUAUGUUACAGCGGGAGAUGAUAAUAGGAAGGGAACUGAUUUGACUACACAUGGAUUUCUACUGCUAUUUGGACUUCUCCAAGGAUAGCGCAUCCGGUGUACCCUUUCCUGCCAUCCAAUAAGGUAGAAAAAUGUGGCUUUCAUAGGUUGGGAGGUGGAGGAAGCGAGCAGAGAAGAUCGAUGCAAGAGAUAAAGAAAAGACAGGAGCAGGAAGGUGAAAACAACAAAGGGAAUCAGAAUAGAUAUAUUUGGGAUAAGCAUGGGAACUUCCACAAGAUGCAAUCCUUCAUGAACUGCUCCAACAUGGGUCCUUCUCAUAAGCUUCAGUUCUUCAAGAACUUCUCCAGAAUGAGUCCUUUCUGAUGGGUACAGUACAUCAGGAAUAAACCUGCAUGGGUCUACCAUGCCACCACAGUUCUUGCCCUGCCACAGAAGCUGCUCUUGUGUGAGUUCCUCUCCAGAAGCUGAAGUUCCUGCCGGGAAACUUCUCCAGUGUGGUCUUUUCACAGACUGGACCUUCAUUCAGAGGAUCCACCUACUGCGUGUCCUCCAGCACCUGGAGUACUUUUUUCCCCUUUUUUAUUCUCUGAGUUUGGUUUUUGUAGCUUUUUUCUUUUUCCCCCUCACAUGUAUUUUCUCUCUCACAGUUGCUGCUCAGCAUUUUUUUCUUUUUAAACUAUGUCUUCUAAGAAGUGCCACCAACUUCACUGAGGGUCUCACCUGUGUCCAGCACGGGUGCAGCUCCUGCUGUCUUCUCAUAGAGGCCACCUCUGCAGCCCCUUGAUAUCAACAUCUUGCCAUUUCCACCCAAUAAAUAAAUUUUAAUCAAGCAUUAGAUAUGUCCAUUUCUUAAGUCAUUGAAACAGCCACAUUUAAACUACUGUGUCCAGUUUGAGGCUUCUCAGUUCAAAAAAGACAAGAAUCUCCUAGAAGGGAUCCAGCAGAGGGCCACAAAGGUGAUUAAGGUCCUGGAGCAUCUCCAGUAUGAGGAAAGGCUGAAAGAUCUGGGUCUGUUCAGUCUGGUGAAAAGAAGACUGAGAGGGGAUCUGAUAAAUAUUUAAAAACAUCUAAAGGGAGACGGAAGUCAAAUGCAUGAUGCCAGGCUCUUUUUGGUGGUGCGUAGCAAUAGGAUAAGGAGUAAUGGCCUGAAACUUGAACACAGGAUGUUCCAUACAAACAUGAAGAAGAAAUUCAUUACAGUAAGGGUGAUGGAGCACUGGAACAGGUUGCCCAGAGAGGUUGUGGAGUCUCCCUCUAUGGAGAAAUUCACAACCCACCUGAAUGUCUACCUAUGCAACAUAUUGUAGGGUACCUGCCUUAGCAGGAGAGUUAAACUCUGAUCUUGAGGUCCCUUCCAACCCUUGCAAUUCCAUGACUCAAAAACAAUUCUCUAGAGAGAUAGAUCAAUGUUUCUUACACUAUUCUGUUUGUGCAUUUUGAAAGAAUUUAGAUAUGAACCUUGUACAGAAAUUAUUGUUUGUAUCAUAAAAUUUUUUACACUGAUUCUCUAAUAAAACAAAUGGUGAGAAAAAAUAAGACAAAUGAGGAAACAUUCAAGAACAUCUUAAAAGUAUAAAGAGAGAGAGAAGACAUAAAUAAAGAAGUAAACCAUUUCUGUGACUCACAGAAAAUACAGUUGUCUAAUGCAUAGAAUGUGCUCCUAUGUGGAGCCAGGAAUUGUACUCAGUGACCUUGUGGGUCCCUUCUAACUAGGGAUAGUAUAUGAUUCUGAAAUUUAUUCUGGCUCAAUUAUUGAGCUUUGUAAUUCAUAGUAGAGAAUUUUAAGCUCCGCUUAGUGCUAGGGGUCAAAAGAAUUUAUAUGUAUAUUAACUUCUAGAUUACUGUCUCUGUACUGAUCAGAAAAAUAAUCGUAUUCAUGAUUAGAGAACUAUAGAAAGCAUAGUAAACUCCUUAUUCACCUGACAUAACUUCAUAUGAGUAACACAGAUUUUAUGUGGCUCUUAAAUAGAACAGAUUAGUUGUUUUUUGUUUGUUUCCUUAUUUUGCUUAACAUGGGACUUAUUUCAUAAGCUGUUGAGGGAUAUAUGGAUAGAAUGGUCUAUCUCAUAAUAACCCAUUUAAAAAAUGUAAUUAAUCUUUAAACUCAUACCUCUUGAAAACAGGUAUCUGCAUAUACUACAGAACAACAGAAUCUUAACAAAGUCUAGAAUAGGCCUUCUUAGCUCAUCUGCCAGCAAGGACUCAAGUUUCCCAGGGCCCAGGGGCUUUGUUAGAUUGAGUCUUAAAUAUUUCCAGUGAGAGAGAUUCCAUCACUUCUCCAGGCAUUACAUACCAGUGAUUAAUCAUUCUCAAAGUAAAGGGGUUUUUUUUUUCUUAUUUCCAUACAGAAUGUUCCUUAAGGCAGCCUGUUCACAUUGUCUCUUGUCCCAUACAUCCUUAUGAAGAUAGUAAUUUGAUCUUCACUGGACUACUUUUCACUUAAUGGAAGUGUGUGCCAGUGUGGUUCCACAUUCUCUGCACACACCCACAUCAGCCCCGAGUCUGUUGUUCUCAAUGCUGAAUAAACACAACUCUUUCAACAUUUUUCUUUGUCAGUCAAGUUCCCAAGCCAAAACCUUGGUAUCCCUCUGCUAGACACCCUCUAGUUUUUUUUAACCUCUCUUGAAGUAGGAGGUUCAGAAGAGGACACUUUUCCAAGGGUGGCAUUUCUAAUGCUAAAUACCGUGUAGUAAUCAUAACACAAAAUCUAGCUAUACUUUUUCUGAUGACACCCUGGAAACAUUUGUCCUUCCUUACUACCAGGUCAUGCUGCGGGCUUACAUUGAGCUUGCGGUGCCCUAGAAUUCAGAGGGGCUUUCCAGUGGAGCUGCUCACAAUCACUAGUCUGUCACCUGUAAUUACAGAAUAUGUGAUCAUUUUGCCCCAGGAGCAGGAUUUACAUUUAUUUUUCUUAAACCUCAUGCAAUCUUUGUUGGCCUAUCUUCCAACCUGCUGAAAUCAGCCUGAAUUUUUGUCUCUUCCUUCCAGACUUAUGUACUUUGCUUCUCAGUGUGAUGUCAUCCACAACCAAAGUGACAGUGCAUUCAAUCCUGACAUCCAGCUUGCUCAUAACAUUAUUUAACAGUUCUGAGGACAGUACUGACUCCAAGGAAUUUGUCUUGUCCGGUUUCAUGCCAUUAACCAUCACCCUCUGAUUUCAGCAGUCUGGCUAGUUUUCUGCCAAUCUUGGUAUUCAUCUGUUCAUUAUAUAUAUUAUAUUAUAUAGUAUAUUAUAUUUUAGCAGCUUAUUAGCAAGGAAACUGUGAGACAGCAAAACAAAUGCCUUACUAAAAUCAAGGUAGAUUAUAUCCACAGCCACUGAGCUAGUUGUUUCACCAUAAAAGACAGUUAUGUAGACUUCAAAAAAUAUUUAUUUUAAUCAGUUGUCACAAGCAUGAAUUUUAAUCACUCAGUGAUGAUCUGAAAUAUCUGACUUAAUUAUUUGAUUAUGCUAUGUUUAAGCACUUCCAUGACCUUUUCAUAUCUAAUUUUCAUAUCUAAAAGGAAUUAAACAUAUCUAUAAUGUGGUAACCUUUUGCAAUAAAAGCUCACUUGCUUUAUACAACUUGUCUAUUUAAUUUAGAAAUCUGUUAGCCACUAAAUGCAGAUGACAGAGUGCUUCCCAGUAAAUCUGCAUUGUUUUUUUUUUUCACUUGACAUACACUAGAUGAUGAAUAUGUUAUAUGCUAUUGCACCAUAUUUUUAUCGAUUCAUUCAUAAAAUUAAUAUACAUUUAUGGGUAGAAUUUAAACAAUGGAUGUAAUAUGUAGUUAAAAUAUUUUAGCUAAGUUAUUUGUAUGAAUGUGCAUUUCCUCUGAGUUAGCCUUGUAUGUUUGGUUUUAUAAAUUGACUUUAUUUACAGUUGCCAAUCAAUUUCACUUCAGUCUUUUUCACUAUUACAAGAUCCUGCUCAAAGAUCUUGUUCUGCUUAUAGUGUGAAUAGUGAAAAUUAUGCUCAUAACAAAAAUGUAAUGAAAAUUACAGGGGAGGGAAAAGAAGCAUCAAAAAGAAUCAUCACUAAAAUUCCUCAGGAUUUCAUUGUUAGUCCUUGAGUUAACAUGUUAUUUAACCAUAUAUAACUUUUACUCUAUGCUAUACUAAAAAAUCUCAGAAAUGUUAAAGCUAUUAGGGAUCUUUUUUCUUUCCAAAUUUUGUUCUAUACAUGUAGUCAUUUAUUUAUUUAUUUGUUUAUUUUACAACAGGUAGAAGAAUAAGUGGAUAGAAGUGUGUCACAGGCAUAUAUUUACCUUUCCAGAUGAGCAAGGAUAAGGAUAAGGAACUUACCACAGAUUUUUCUCUCAAUUCUUAUGUCUUCACAAAGGUGUGUUAAGAAGUUUAAGUAUGUAACAAUGUUCUACACUAUUUGAUUUCAAUAGAAUAUGAUAUAAAAUGUGAAGGGAAAUAUUUUCCUUACGUUUUCAGAAAUUAAAUGUCAAACUGUAAUUCUGAAAUAUCUACUGCAGAAUAAUUCGUUUGAGGAUUGUAACUUCUAAUGACAUAAAAUUGUUUGAAUCCAGUGGGAUUAAUACUGUGUAAUUUUUAACUGUUUACUACAGAUUCAGAAAGUUAAUUCUUUAUAUGCUAGAUUAUGAAGGCAAGUUAAUUCUUUUGAUUGGUGCUAUGAAGCUGGGAUGUUUUAGCCUGAAUGGUAAAAUAAUUCUAUUUGAAUUGCUUUAUUACUAUAUUAAGAUGAAUUAGAUUGGGAAAAAUUCUGUUUCACCUUUUCACAACAUAUUUCUUCUGAUACUCCAAAAACAGUUCAAGAAAGGUUGGAAAAUAAGUCUAGUCACUUUUAUCACUUCGGAAGGCAAGUACAGUCCUCUGAAGUACUAUGCUCAGAGUAAUGAAACCUCAAAAAAUAAGGAGAUCAAGAACAGAAUGAUUGCUGAUGACAAGUACUCCCACAUACAUACAGUUUUACUUGUAGUUUCAAAGUCUUCUAUUUUAUGUGAACAAACAAAUUUGUUAUAUAUUAUUUUCAUUUUCUCUGUCUUCCAUGAAGAACUUUUAUUCCCUUUCUUUUGACAACUAGCUUUUACUAUUGGAAUUUAACUUAAUAAGUCACCUUUAAACUCAACAGGUCCACAUCUUCCAACAAUUUGUGAUGACUACAUUUUCUAGAACAAACCUUAGUUACUUUGACUUUCUCAAGAACACUCCUUCUGGAAGAGCUAUGCUCAAACUAUGCAAAUUGUUUCAGGUGAAGUCUUAUUACUGCUAGUAUAUAAGUAUCUACUCCAUAUGUUUUUAUGGUUCAUUAUGAUAUAUAUAUAUAUAUAUUUCUUUUUUCAAUUGCAAAGAAAACCAUGCUACAACAUGAUUUCCCUAUUUAAUUUGUUAUGCACCAUACUCCACAGCUUUGUAAAUGUCUAAUUUAGCCAGAUAGCCUUAUCAUGCAUUUCUUCAACUAACUCCUUAUAUCUGUGAAAGACUUUGUCCUUAUGGAAUUACUUCAUUAAAAAAAAAAAAACUAUAAAAUAUUAUUAUUUUUAAAUGCUAAAUUAAUACUACGAUAUUGUUCCUACAACCUCUGUAAGUUCAUCUUUAAAUAUAUACAUAAUCCAUGUCAUUAAUUAAAAAGUCAAAUCGUACUGGAUUUAAUUCAGACUCAUUUUGAAUUGACAUGAUCCUACUGUAUCUUACAAAAGACUUCUCUAGCACAUUAUCUUUUAUCUGACAGUGGUCAGUAACUGUUGUCAAUGAAUAAACAAAUAUGGAAAGCAUAUGUUGACAUUCUUCUCAAAUAUCCUUUAAUGUUUAUUAAACUGUAGUUCAGAGACUUCCAUAUAUGCUUUUCCAGUGUGAGAUUUCAUCUCUAAAUACAAGAAAAAAGUAUGGAUCUUCAGCAUUACAUUCUAAAAUUUUCUCAUCUGAAUUAAAUAUAUUCUGAGAUUAUGUUCACCAAUAUCCCAAGCACUCCACACAUUUCUCAGGGCUACUCACUUACAUUUACUCUUAGAAAUAGUUUGAAUGGAUUCCAGUUUUCAUAUUCAAUUAAAGAAUAUCACAGACUCUCUGUGAACACUAAUGUCACCUGUGAAAAAUUGUUAAUAAAUAUUCACUUUUAAUGACAUAUCUCUGUGCCUUCUCCUACAUUAUACCCUAAUUCAAGUAACUGUUAAUUAUUAAAAUAGAGCAUUGUUUUAAGGCGAUUCUCUCUCUCUCUCUCUCUCUUUUUUUUUUUUUUUUUUUUCCCCACCAUCCUCAUUAUAUUGGCCAUAGUGCCCAUGGGACUAGAUUUGAAGAUUUUUUCAAUCUCUUUAUAAUUUAUAACACAGAGAUCACUAACGUAAGGCAGUAUUUGUCAUCAUCUAAUUACUCAAAAACAGAGUUUAAACACUGAAAUACUGGGAAAACAUUUCUAGCUAUUAUGGAAAAAAUUACUGGCUGGGCUGAAAUUUUACCUGAAAUGACGAAUUCAUCUCCGACCAUCUGGUAAAGAGCAUAUCAUGCUUUAAGCAAAAUACAGUGAUAAGAUUUUAUUAACACUUUCUUCCAUAAGUAACAGAUAAAUUUAAGAAUAAAUAACAUUUUCUUCCUUUUUAUCUCCUUAAAAAAAAAAAAAAAAAAAAAAAGUUAAUAGACUUUAUUUUUAAACUUAGAAAAUUAAAAGCCCAAGAGAACUAAUUACUGAUCUUCACCAGGUUUGAAUUCUACUAGGAACAAGCAAUGUAACCUCAUAGUCACAUAUGUUUUGUCAUGGAAGUGUCUGAGAUUCACUUUUCUAUUUUGACUUGUAUUCAGCCCCAUCAAACACAUUUGUACAUGGCUCUGAAAGCAACAUUAUAUCAGUGCAAGUCAAUUAUCAAUUAACUUAGCAUUACUUAUAUUGCUAAAUAAUAUUAAUAUUAGCUAAAUUAGGCUCAGAACAUAGCACUGACAGUUAAUAACAGUUAAUACUAAGGCAAGCAAGAGACAUAUUAAAUACACCUGAAGGUAUUUGACAGGCAAGACUGUGAAUGAUGCUGGUGCAAACUUACAGUUAUGAUAGAAAAACUGUUCAAUAAAAUAGGAAUCCAAAUAAGACUCUUGUACUCACAUUGUCUCAGUCUUUAGAGGCUGCACAUGAACAUUGUACUGAAAGCACAACACAAACCUCCGGUAACGUACUUGUGUUAAGAUGGAUGCUGUCAAUCAAGUGUACAUCUGUGAUAAUGAAAAAGAGAAAUUGCUGUUUGGAAAUGAUUUGUUAUUGAAGUUCUGUCCACUUCUCAAUGUAAUCCAUAAAAUGAUUUGAUUUUGGUGAAGGGACAAUAUUCCAUGUAGUAGCUUGAUAAGAGAAGGAGAGUGGAAAGUACUGUUAUUUGCUGUCAUGGGAAGAUCAGUACUUCCUCUUUUCUUUUUGGCAUCCUAACUGCAAUGAGCAGCCCUGUCUCUCCCUGCAUCCAUACUGUUAAAUACGGGAUUACCAUUUUCUAACUCACCUAUUUUAUCUUAUUUUUCUAUUUAUGUGUUCAGUGUUUUGGAGCAAA
ensembl:lncRNA